UAACUAUUUUUAUUUUUUUCCUUUUCUCUCCUUUACAGACUCUACUUAAUAAUGAGACAAGUAGUAAAAAGCAGCAGGAAAAAGGAGCCCCUUACUCCGUAGCUACCCUCAACAGAAAGCCUACACUAAAAUAAACAACCUCAACUCUUCCUGCACUCACAGCCAAGAUGCCAUUUAACUGUAUACUAUAAUAUCUUGCACAUUUUUCUAAUUUUGGUAUUUUCCUAAACUCUGAUGGCAGAGACGAGACACAUAUCGCACUUUUCACUUAAUCCCCACACAGCCCACUCUGCAGAACGUACUAAGGUAUCUCUUUUCAAUAGAAACUGGUUUGCUCCAUUAAAGUUUAAUCUUAUUAAGAUCAAAACUUUCUUUUUUUUUUUUUUUUUUAAGUUUAUUUAUUUAUUUAUUUUUUAGAGACAGCGAGAGUGAAAGAGGCCCCUGAGGUCUUCAUGCUGUGAUCCAUCCCCAGUCUUAGUCAGCCUGGAUCAUGGGCACAAGCACACUUCUGGUGUGUACAGGGAUGCCCCAGGGUACAAAUCUAGUAUCUUCUGACAUGGGUCCAGCAGCAUUACCAAUGCCCCACUGUCUGGCUCCAUUCUAUUUAUAUUCUUUCAGGCUGAAUGAAUCACUGUAAAAGUACGCAAUUUCUUGAAUAUGCAAUUUAUAAUAAUUUUUAAAAGGACACUAAAGAGACACUCAUGAAAGGAAAAGUACUUUAAUGCAUAUUGCACCGUUUCACGCUACCUUUAUUUUUUUAAUCACAGCAGAAGGAGCUCCUGUAACACUUUUCAUGAUAUAUCUGAAUGACUUUUCUAGUGGUUUCAAAACCCACUCAGCACCUGGUACUGUAUAUGUUCAUUAGCACUUGUUGUAGCCUCUCUAUGGCCAAUUACAUCAUUAAAGCAGAAAACAGGCAACACACACACACACACACACACACACACACACCCUAUUUAAUAACAUGCAAAACAAACUGGAUGGUAUAAAAAAAUUAAAUGCCGACUUAAAACAUGUAAAUAGAUAUACUGAAGUAGUGGUAUUGAUGGAAGUUCUAGUACCAAUUUGUUAAUUUUUUCUCAUCAGAAAAGUCAAUCAUGAUGUGUGAAUCAUUUGUUGCUGCAGUUGUGUUAUACUUCCAAAACAUUAGGAAGGAAGUGUUCUGAAGAUAAUGAAGUGAAAAUCCUCCAAAAUGUAUUUGUAGGAAGAGUCCGUGGAUGACAGCCUUCAGGAUAUAUGCAAAGCUUAUUUAUAAAAAUUCUUUUCUCUAUGGAUGAAUAAGUGCAUAUUUUUGGAAGGCGGGUCCAUAGCUUUCAUAAAAUUCUCAGAGGUGUCCCUGUGCCAGUUCUUUUAAAAUGUUGCAUUUUGUCACUUGUGGCUAUUUGUUCUGGUGAUACAACAUGACGA